AGAUUAUCUUCUGAAGAAGUUAGGCCUUGGAAGACAAGCUACACGCUAGAUGAUGAUGAGACCUUGUUUAAACGAGGGGUGAAGGUUAUGAAAGGUGGUUUGGGUGAUAUCAAUACCAGGUGAUGAGCACCCUGUCAUGUAGUCAAAGGUGAACUCAGAAACCAAUCAACUAACUCAAGUCAAUAAAUAAAGCAUUUUCACCUGACUUCAGAAAAAUAUGAUUUAAGAAAACAAAGAGACUCCGACUCAAAUAAACAUUUUUAAAAGUGUA
rnacentral:sRNA from 1 species